GACGAACCGUGCGAACGUUGUUCGGAAUCACUGGGCUUAAAGGGCGCGUAGGCGGCCCGCCAAGUCAGGGGUGAAAGCCCCCAGCUCAACUGGGGAAGGGCCUUUGAUACUGGCGGGCUCGAGGGGGAUAGGGGCGGACGGAACUUCCGGUGGAGCGGUGAAAUGCGUUGAUAUCGGAAGGAACGCCGGUGGCGAAAGCGGUCCGCUGGGUCCCUACUGACGCUGAGGCGCGAAAGCCAGGGGAGCAAACGGG
rnacentral:rRNA from 1 species